AGUCCACCUGCCUCCAGGGUAAUCUGCUCCAGUGUUGAACCAGCUCCAUUCAGUUCUUGCCAAGAUGUCCUGCCAGCAAAACCAGCAGCAGUGCCAGCCCCCGCCCAAGUGUCCCCCCAAAUGCCCACCCAAGUGCACUCCUAAGUGUCCUCCCAAGUGCCCAGCCCCGUGUCCCCCUCCAGCGUCUUCCUGCUGUGCCCCCAGCUCCGGGGGCUGCUGCAGCUCUGGGGGUGGAGGCUGCUGCAGCUCUGGGGGUGGAGGCUGCUGCCUGAGCCACCACAAGCUUCGCAGAUCUCUUCGACGCCGACACCAGAGCUCGGGCUGCUGUGGCAGUGGCGGUGGCCAGCACUCUGGGGGCUCCGGCUGCUGCUCUGGGGGCUCCGGCUGCUGCUCUGGGGGCUCCGGCUGCUGCUCUGGAGGCUGCUGCUCUGGGGGCUGCUCCUCUGGGGGCUGCUGCUGAACUGGGUCAUGAAGACCAACUGAAGAGCAACACUGCAGGAUUCAAAGAGCUGAUGACCUGCCCAGCCUGAGUCUUCUCUUUUUCUGGCUUGGAAGAUUGGAAGAGAAUGGAAGGGCUUCUGAAACACCCAGAACGUCCCUCUUCUUCCUGCCACGUUCUUUCCAUGGUGAGGUCUAGAGGUUUAACCUCUGAUACUCACUGGUCUGAUUUCCCACUAGAUAGUUCUUUGGAGGACUCAGUAUUGGAAUUUGGGUUAUCCCUGUAACCAUAAAGCUUUUUAUUCCUGGUG